AAAAAACACUUUUUUUCUUGGUACGGACUUCAAAGGGUUAAAGUAGCUAGAGUGAUGUCACUCACACUGCGCAUGCUCAGUUGGAUGCCCCGCCUUCAGAGAAAAUAUCGAGGAGAUUCCUGAGCUGCUGCAGGAUUUAUUGACGAAAAACUAUUUAUGAGAUCUGGUCCUGUGGGCGUCAGUAUCACACAGUGAUCACAGUUCACACCUGCAGUGAAGCCCCUCCCACAACAAUUCACCAAUAAAUACUGGGAAUAUUCCCAU